rnacentral:rRNA from 1 species
CAGCAGUGAGGAAUAUUGGUCAAUGGGCGAGAGCCUGAACCAGCCAAGUAGCGUGCAGGAUGACGGCCCUAUGGGUUGUAAACUGCUUUUAUAAGGGAAUAAAGUGAGAGUCGUGACUCUUUUUGCAUGUACCUUAUGAAUAAGGACCGGCUAAUUCCGUGCCAGCAGCCGCGGUAAUACGGAAGGUCCGGGCGUUAUCCGGAUUUAUUGGGUUUAAAGGGAGCGUAGGCCGGAGAUUAAGCGUGUUGUGAAAUGUAGACGCUCAACGUCUGCACUGCAGCGCGAACUGGUUUCCUUGAGUACGCACAAAGUGGGCGGAAUUCGUGGUGUAGCGGUGAAAUGCUUAGAUAUCACGAAGAACUCCGAUUGCGAAGGCAGCUCACUGGAGCGCAACUGACGCUGAAGCUCGAAAGUGCGGGUAUCGAACAGGAUUAGAUACCCUGGUAGUCCGCACGGUAAACGAUGGAUGCCCGCUGUUGGUCUGAAUAGGUCAGCGGCCAAGCGAAAGCAUUAAGCAUCCCACCUGGGGAGUACGCCGGCAACGGUGAAACUCAAAGGAAUUGACGGGGGCCCGCACAAGCGGAGGAACAUGUGGUUUAAUUCGAUGAUACGCGAGGAACCUUACCCGGGCUUGAAUUGCAGAGGAAGGAUUUGGAGACAAUGACGCCCUUCGGGGUCUCUGUGAAGGUGCUGCAUGGUUGUCGUCAGCUCGUGCCGUGAGGUGUCGGCUUAAGUGCCAUAACGAGCGCAACCCUUAUCGUUAGUUACUAACAGGUCAUGCUGAGGACUCUAGAGAGACUGCCGUCGUAAGAUGUGAGGAAGGUGGGGAUGACGUCAAAUCAGCACGGCCCUUACGUCCGGGGCUACACACGUGUUACAAUGGCAGGUACAGAGAGAUGGUGUUCUGCAAAGCGCAUCUAAUCCUUAAAGCCUGUCUCAGUUCGGACUGGGGUCUGCAACCCGACCCCACGAAGCUGGAUUCGCUAGUAAUCGCGCAUCAGCCAUGGCGCGGUGAAUACGUUCCCGGGCCUUGUACACACCGCCCGUCAAGCCAUGAAAGCCGGGGGCGCCUAAAGUCCGUGACCGUAAGGAGCGGCCUAGGGCGAAACUGGUAAUUGGGGCUAAGUCGUAACAAGGUAGCCGUACCGGAAGGUGCGGCUG